rnacentral:lncRNA from 1 species
CAACUUCAAAACACUAAAAAUUAUUUCAUUAAUAUACAUCCAAUGUGAAGAAUUUUCACAAUAUAAAGUGAUCAAACAAUUUUCUAUUUUCAUUAGAAGAAAAGUUAGUUUUUUGUCGAUUAUAUGCAAAGUGGAAAAAAUAUGACCAAAUUUCUCAAAUUAGUUUAUGCUAUGAUUCUUCUCAUUUUCCUCUUUCUUGUUGUAGCCGACGGCACCAAUAGUAGUAAGUUCAUUUUCAUUAUCAUAUAUCUUUUUAAAUUACUCUUCUUUAGCAUGCUCAAUCUUUCAUAUAUUUGAGAAACGUUCUUUUAAUUAAUCUUGUUUUAUAUAUAACAUAAUUUUGCUUGAUUUACUUUGGACAUUGAUUUUUCAGGUUAUGAGUGUAUCCGUCCUCAAUUCAUGAUAUGCAAUUUGCGUGGGUGUUUUUGUGGGACAUGGGAGAAUACUUAAGUUUAAAAGUAAUGCUUUGAAUAUAAUGUUAAUUGUAUUAUGCAAGUUUUGUAUCCUUUGUUCUCCUUUUGAAAAAUGGGAGAAGUAAUAGUUAA